rnacentral:rRNA from 1 species
UACGUAGGGGGCAAGCGUUGUCCGGAAUCAUUGGGCGUAAAGAGCGUGUAGGCGGCUUGGUAAGUCCGCUGUGAAAGUCCAGGGCUCAACCCUGGAAAGCCGGUGGAAACUGUCAAGCUUGAGUCCGGAAGAGGCGAGUGGAAUUCCUGGUGUAGCGGUGAAAUGCGCAGAUAUCAGGAGGAACACCGGUGGCGAAGGCGGGUCUCUGGGCAAUAACUGACGCUGAGGAGCGAAAGCGUGGGGAGCGAACAGG